UGUAAAGUUUUGUCAAAGCGUGUGAUAAUACUUGUGCCCCACCCGCCUUGAGACAGACUGACAAAGGAGUGGCAGCCAUUCUCAGUGUAAUAUCCAGGUUUUGUCUACAGUGUAAAAGGAUUUAUAUGUCAGAAUCUUGAUAAGCACAAUCCAUGUUCACAAAAGCUGUUUAACUGCCCUGAACAAUAAGAAUCGAUAUUGCUGUUUAAGUAUCAGUGAGCUACCAGUGCCAAGCUAAUACAUGUGUGCCAAUGUUCUCAAUAAUACUCACCAGUUUGAAGGUCCUAGAUUAUGUUGCAUUGGUUUUUUGAGGUUUUAGUCAUGUUAGAAUGCUGUUAAAUCAUCCAAAAUAUGUCUGUGUUUCAAUCAUGCUUUGAGUUAUCGCUAAAAUUGACAUCUGCUUGGUUCCACCUUGUGAUGUCAUUAGGUGUUAAUCCAGGAGAUGGCCAUGUCUAAAUUUCAAACUAUCAUUUUGAAGUGUCUGUGCUAAGGUGUCUAAAACUCUAAAUACUACAUAGUGUAGGACCUUUAAGCUACAGUGCCAUGUUUGAACAAACUUGAACCACAGAUUGUCCUGAAAUGUUGUUUUUUUUUCUUCAAUGGUGAUGUUUUUAAGGAGCACACUGAACCAUGACUGCUCUGCUGAGUUCUGUGCUGCUCCUGUAGACUCGUGUACAGUUAAAGAGGAGCUUUUGUAAACGAUUUACGCUAAAGCAGGUUUUAUUUUUUGUAACUGGUCUGAUGCCUUAUGUUUGUGUGAGCUGGCUCACUGGUGAUCCUCUCUGCUAUUUAUUUAAACUGUUGAACUGUCUUAAUAUUGAUUUAAACAUGUCACAUGACAGAGCGCAGACUGGAGGUAGUUCUGUCUGUGUUUAGGACAGUGUAAGGCUGACCUCUAGUGGUCACGUCGUUAAGUGCAUGUCUCUGAUGAGCUCAGUGAACUUUAUAACUUUAUAAACUGCAGCUACGACAUCAAAUCUGGACUGGGUCCGUUCAUAAAGUGGAUCUGGGUUGUGUGUAAAGCCUCAGUGAC
ensembl:lncRNA